GAGUUUGAUCUUGGCUCAGAUUGAACGCUGGCGGCAUGCCUUACACAUGCAAGUCGAACGGCAGCAUGAUCUAGCUUGCUAGAUUGAUGGCGAGUGGCGAACGGGUGAGUAAUACAUCGGAACGUGCCCUGUAGUGGGGAUAACUAGUCGAAAGAUUAGCUAAUACCGCAUACGACCUGAGGGUGAAAGUGGGGGACCGCAAGGCCUCAUGCUAUAGGAGCGGCCGAUGUCUGAUUAGCUAGUUGGUGGGGUAAAGGCCCACCAAGGCGACGAUCAGUAGCUGGUCUGAGGGGACGAUCAGCCACACUGGGACUGAGACACGGCCCAGACUCCUACGGGAGGCAGCAGUGGGGAAUUUUGGACAAUGGGCGAAAGCCUGAUCCAGCAAUGCCGCGUGUGUGAAGAAGGCCU
rnacentral:rRNA from 1 species